CGAAGUAUAGCUUAACCAAAGCAUCUCGCUUACACCGAGAAAACGUCCGUGAAAACCAGACUACUUCGA
rnacentral:tRNA from 1 species